rnacentral:rRNA from 1 species
UGAGGAAUAUUGGUCAAUGGGCGAGAGCCUGAACCAGCCAAGUCGCGUGAGGGAUGACGGUCCUACGGAUUGUAAACCUCUUUUGUCGGGGAACAACAGGGGGCACGCGUGCCUUUGUGAGUGUACCCGAAGAAAAAGCAUCGGCUAACUCCGUGCCAGCAGCCGCGGUAAUACGGAGGAUGCGAGCGUUAUCCGGAUUUAUUGGGUUUAAAGGGUGCGUAGGUGGUUUGUUAAGUUUGUGGUGAAAGCGUGCGGCUCAACCGUACCAAGCCAUGAAAACUGGCGAACUUGAGUGCAAACGAGGUAGGCGGAAUGUGAUGUGUAGCGGUGAAAUGCUUAGAUAUGUCACAGAACCCCGAUUGCGAAGGCAGCUUACCAGCAUGCAACUGACACUGAGGCACGAAAGCGUGGGUAUCAAACAGGAUUAGAUACCCUGGUAGU